AGUUUUCAUUUCUCCACAGCCCCUGUGGGGCAGGGAAGGUGGGGGUGGGUGCAUUCCCCCGUCUCAUCUGCUCCUUUCAAUUACUCCUACCCGGGCCUCCUGCCUACUCUCUCCUCCAUGGUCCAAGGCAGCUGGUGGACAGGGCAGGAAGGGAACAAGAAAGGGGUUGUCUUGGACGGACGGGAAGGGGUCUUGAAAAUCCACUUAGCCUUCUCUUUCCUGCUCAGCAGCACCUUAAACCAUACUAUGUCAGUCCCAUGAGACCCCUAAAGACCUACCACUACCACAUCAGGACCACUCCAGAUUUGGGGCGUGUGUGUGUGUGUGUGUGUGUGUGUGUGUGUGUGUGUGUCCCUAUCGUCCAUGGAGGCAAAGACAGAAACCCAGAAGGGCAAAUGGAUUCAACUUUUGGGUUUCUACAGCUUCUUUGACCAGGUCUCAUGAUGUUGGGGGUAGAUUGAAGUAAGAGAACACAGGGACUUCUUAAGUAAGGGGGGGGGCCUUAAGUAGUAGGGGUCAGGUGAAGUCAGUGUUUAGCAAGGAUUAGAACUCACAGACUACUCUACAUUGCCUUCUUCUCCCCUAGUCAAGAGCUGUUCAGUCCCCUGUCUGACGCUCUUUUUUAAAUUAUUUUUUAUUAGAUAUUUUCUUCAUUUACAUUUCAAAUGCUAUCCCAAAAGUUCCCUAUACCCCCCCUCCCCCCGCCCUGCUCCCCUACCCACUCAUUCCCACUUCUUGGCCCUGGCGUUCCCCUGUACUGGGGCAUAUAGUUUGCAAUACCAAGGGGCCUCUCUUCCCAAUGAUGGCCGACUAGGCCAUCUUCUGCUACAUAUGCAGCUAGAGACAUGAGCUCUGGGGGUACUGGUUAGUUCAUAUUGUUGUUCCACCUAUAGGGUUGCAGACCCCUUCAGUUCCUUGGGUACUUUCUCUAGCUCCUCCAUUGGGGGCCCUGUGUUCCAUCCAAUAGCUGACUGUGAGCAUCCACUUCUGUAUUUGCCAGGCACUGGCAUAGCCUCACAAGAGGCAGCUAUAUCAGGGUUCUUUCAGCAAAAUCUUGCUGGCAUAUGUAAUAGUGUCUGUGUUUGGUGGCUGAUUAUGGGAUGGACCCUGUCUGAUGCUCUUAAUCAUCUCUUCUGUGCUUUCCCCUCAAUAAUGCCUUCUGGCACU